AGCAUGCAUCUUUUGGAUUUGUCAUUAAAUAAUGUAUGUUUGCAGCCAGCCCAGCUUCUAUCCAUACUUAGCAUUCCUGGAAUAUAAAUUACUAAUGUUUUAUUUGGCCAGAAAGUUAUGCUCGUGUUAGAGUUUUUCUCUGCUGAUUCGGACCGUGGAAUUGACCUAUUAAGUGAUAUAGAUUAAUGUGGAUUUAAUGGACUUGUUCUCACGAAGCAACGUAGAAAAGGUGUUUGAUGGACAUUCAUGAUCUUUUUGGAUGUUGAUUUUUGUUGUUUUUAAUGGUUUUGGACAGUUUGUACGGGACAUCAACCAGUACUAUCAGUCUCAUUUUAUUUUAUUGAUAGGUUUUUU
rnacentral:lncRNA from 1 species